rnacentral:rRNA from 3 species
UUAAGUAGACCGCCUGGGGAGUACGGCCGCAAGGUUAAAACUCAAAUGAAUUGACGGGGGCCCGCACAAGCGGUGGAGCAUGUGGUUUAAUUCGAUGCAACGCGAAGAACCUUACCUGGUCUUGACAUCCACAGAAGAAUCCAGAGAUGGAUUUGUGCCUUCGGGAACUGUGAGACAGGUGCUGCAUGGCUGUCGUCAGCUCGUGUUGUGAAAUGUUGGGUUAAGUCCCGCAACGAGCGCAACCCUUAUCCUUUGUUGCCAGCGGUCCGGCCGGGAACUCAAAGGAGACUGCCAGUGAUAAACUGGAGGAAGGUGGGGAUGACGUCAAGUCAUCAUGGCCCUUACGACCAGGGCUACACACGUGCUACAAUGGCGCAUACAAAGAGAAGCGACCUCGCGAGAGCAAGCGGACCUCAUAAAGUGCGUCGUAGUCCGGAUUGGAGUCUGCAACUCGACUCCAUGAAGUCGGAAUCGCUAGUAAUCGUGGAUCAGAAUGCCACGGUGAAUACGUUCCCGGGCCUUGUACACACCGCCCGUCACACCAUGGGAGUGGGUUGCAAAAGAAGUAGGUAGCUUAACCUUCGGGAGGGCGCUUACCACUUUGUGAUUCAUGACUGGGGUGAAGUCGUAACAAGGUAACCGUAGGGGAACCUGC